CAGUGGGGAAUUUUGGACAAUGGGCGCAAGCCUGAUCCAGCAAUGCCGCGUGAGUGAAGAAGGCCUUCGGGUUGUAAAGCUCUUUUGUCAGGGAAGAAACGGUGAGGGCUAAUAUCCCUUGCUAAUGACGGUACCUGAAGAAUAAGCACCGGCUAACUACGUGCCAGCAGCCGCGGUAAUACGUAGGGUGCAAGCGUUAAUCGGAAUUACUGGGCGUAAAGCGUGCGCAGGCGGUUUUGUAAGUCUGUCGUGAAAUCCCCGGGCUCAACCUGGGAAUUGCGAUGGAGACUGCAAGGCUAGAAUCUGGCAGAGGGGGGUAGAAUUCCACGUGUAGCAGUGAAAUGCGUAGAGAUGUGGAGGAACACCGAUGGCGAAGGCAGCCCCCUGGGUCAAGAUUGACGCUCAUGCACGAAAGCGUGGGGAGCAAACAGGAUUAGAUACCCUGGUAGUCCACGCCCUAAACGAUGUCUACUAGUUGUCGGGUUUUAAUUAACUUGGUAACGCAGCUAACGCGUGAAGUAGA
rnacentral:rRNA from 1 species